CCCCUCUCAGGGUAGCACCUCGAGAGUUUCCAGUAGUCUACCAGUCUCGGCUAUGGGAGGGAGAGUCAAGCAGAGGCCUGUCCAUUCCAUUCCUAGCUUGGGCAGUGGCUAGUGAGUGGAAGACAAUCUGCUACAAGU
rnacentral:snoRNA from 1 species